GAGCGGCGUACGGGUGCGGAACACGUGUGCACUGCCUUUAUCUGGGGGAUAGCCUUUCGAAAGGAAGAUAAUACCCCAUAAUAUGUUGAAUGGCAUCAUCCGACAUUGAAAACUCCGGUGGAUAGAGAUGGGCACGCGCAAGAUUAGAUAGUUGGUGAGGUAACGGCUCACCAAGUCUACGAUCUUUAGGGGGCCUGAGAGGGUGAUCCCCCACACUGGUACUGAGACACGGACCAGACUCCUACGGGAGGCAGCAGUGAGGAAUAUUGGACAAUGGGUGAGAGCCUGAUCCAGCCAUCCCGCGUGAAGGACGACUGCCCUAUGGGUUGUAAACUUCUUUUGUAUAGGGAUAAACCUACCCUCGUGAGGGUAGCUGAAGGUACUAUACGAAUAAGCACCGGCUAACUCCGUGCCAGCAGCCGCGGUAAUACGGAGGGUGCAAGCGUUAUCCGGAUUUAUUGGGUUUAAAGGGUCCGUAGGCGGAUCUGUAAGUCAGUGGUGAAAUCUCACAGUUAAUUGGUGAAAUUGCAUUGAUUACUGCAAGGUCUUGGAAUUGUGUGAAGUAGCUGGAAUAAGUAGUGUACGGGUGAAAAUGCUUUA
rnacentral:rRNA from 1 species